AGGGGUCAGAGUAUAUAUAUGUAUAGUGGUUGUUACUGAGUAGAAGGAGUUAGCAAACUUACAAGUUGUUCGCCUAACCGUUAUAAAAGCGAAAACUCGGCCUGGGAUCGAGGCUAGCUCCAACCACGAAAAUAUUACCCUGAAUAUUUUAAUUUGUCCCCCGAAAAUUACCCGCUAUACGGUAUACACCAAUAGUAUUAUAAUUAUCAUAAUUAUACUCUUGACUAGUGUGCUGUAUCAUUUAUCAAAUGAGGGAACUGAGGCAAUUUCGAAGGAGAUGUCUCCAAUGGGUGUUUUCAUUCUUUGCUCUAACCAUUCUGGCAAGUAUUGCUGGAGCUGGCUUAUCUCUAGGCCUUAAAUUGUUGGGCCCCGAGUCCAAUUUGGCUGUAGAAACUUCGAUUGAUUCUGAAAAUAAUCCUCUAACAAUAUCGAAUUUUCCAUACUUUUGCGAAGAAGUAACAGCAAUAUCGAAGUCCGGUGUACCCAAUACUACAAUGACACUAUACUUGGCGAACUCGCCUCACGAGUUCACUCGUGACCUAAAGUUUCAAUGUACCAUGGAAACUGUCAAGAAUGAAUCCUGUUCACUAAAUGUUCCACUUGAGUUUGACAAUAUCUUAUAUGGCAAAAUAGAUGGAAUCAAUAUAGUGGGAGGUCAUGUUUUGGCUGACCUCUCAAUAAGCUGUAUGACAAGAGUUUCGCUUUACACGGUGUUAUCUCUUGCCACAUUCACAUUUGUAAUUCUUAGUGGAGUAGUAUGCAUUUGCUGCUGUGCUUCUACCUGUUGUAGACCCAAAAAGUAUGAAGGCAAGAGUAACCUGUUUAUUUAUACACCCCUACUUGACACAGCUGAUCAUGGUCCUGAGGAUGAUCCACGUGAGCAUACUCUUAUGGUCAGCUCUGUGAAUACCCCUGAUGGUGUGGUACCUACACUGGAUCCCACUGAGCUAUCCAGCUCGUACAAAUACAGCUCAUUCAAGCCAGGAACAAAACCAGGCAGUUCAUUCAAAUCCUUAUCACCAAAGAAACAAAAAAGUCCCAAAGUGAAACGUAACUACGCCACCAUCAGUGGAACAUAUACGUUUCACACUUUCAAACCCGAGAAUUAAAGGGUGUUAUUUGGUGCACGUAUUAAUUUGUGUUAGCUUAUACCAGAGUCUCCGUAUGAUAAGAUAACUGCUUGUUUAGUACACAUUAUUUUAUGCUAAACAAAAUCUAAAGAAUGUAUUGUUUGACUUAA